rnacentral:rRNA from 1 species
AGAGUUUGAUCAUGGCUCAGGACGAACGCUGGCUGGCUGUGCUUAACACAUGCAAGUGGUGCGACGAACCAGGGCUUGCCCUGGGGCAAAGCCGCGAACGGGUGAGUAACACGUGAGUAACCUGCCCCGAUGACCGGGACAACCCGAGGAAACUCGGGCUAAUACCGGAUGUGGCGCACAGAUUUAAGUCUGUUCGCUAAAGGAAGCUUCGGCCUCCGCAUUGGGAGGGGCUCGCGGCCCAUUAGCUUGUUGGUGGGGUAACGGCCUACCAAGGCAACGAUGGGUAGCUGGUCUGAGAGGACGAUCAGCCACACUGGGACUGAGACACGGCCCAGACUCCUACGGGAAGCAGCAGUGGGGAAUCUUGCGCAAUGCGCGAAAGCGUGACGCAGCAACGCCGCGUGGGGGAAGACGGCCUUCGGGUUGUAAACCCCUUUCAGGAGGGACGAAGGUUCGCCGGUGAAUAGCCGUGUGGAUUGACGGUACCUCCACAAGAAGCUUCCGGCUAACUACGUGCCAGCAGCCGCGGUA